UUGCUGCUUCGCUGACGAGUGGCGGACGGGCGAGUAAUGUCUGGGAAACUGCCUGAUGGAGGGGGAUAACUACUGGAAACGGUAGCUAAUACCGCAUAACGUCGCAAGACCAAAGAGGGGGACCUUCGGGCCUCUUGCCAUCGGAUGUGCCCAGAUGGGAUUAGCUAGUAGGUGGGGUAACGGCUCACCUAGGCGACGAUCCCUAGCUGGUCUGAGAGGAUGACCAGCCACACUGGAACUGAGACACGGUCCAGACUCCUACGGGAGGCAGCAGUGGGGAAUAUUGCACAAUGGGCGCAAGCCUGAUGCAGCCAUGCCGCGUGUAUGAAGAAGGCCUUCGGGUUGUAAAGUACUUUCAGCGGGGAGGAAGGCGACAAGGUUAAUAACCUUGUCGAUUGACGUUACCCGCAGAAGAAGCACCGGCUAACUCCGUGCCAGCAGCCGCGGUAAUACGGAGGGUGCAAGCGUUAAUCGGAAUUACUGGGCGUAAAGCGCACGCAGGCGGUCUGUCAAGUCGGAUGUGAAAUCCCCGGGCUCAACCUGGGAACUGCAUUCGAAACUGGCAGGCUAGAGUCUUGUAGAGGGGGGUAGAAUUCCAGGUGUAGCGGUGAAAUGCGUAGAGAUCUGGAGGAAUACCGGUGGCGAAGGCGGCCCCCUGGACAAAGACUGACGCUCAGGUGCGAAAGCGUGGGGAGCAAACAGGGUUAGAUACCCUGGUAGUCCACGCCGUAAACGAUGUCGACUUGGAGGUUGUGCCCUUGAGGCGUGGCUUCCGGAGCUAACGCGUUAAGUCGACCGCCU
rnacentral:rRNA from 1 species